ACGGGGCGCCCCAGGGGCAGCCGAGGGGUGCGGACGCGGGCUCGGUACCCCGGCAGGGACGAUGCUCUGGGGGCUGCGGGGGUGGGCACCGUGCGGGGCGGGGCCUCAGCGGGUGGGGGCGGGGCCUGCUUCCUGAGCCCCACCCCCGCCCCCCUGCCCGCCUAGGCUUCCUUCCUGGGGGGGCUCUGCUCCUACGGUUCCUACCCCCCUGCCCCGCGCCGGGGUCCCCGUGCCCGCAGCCACCCCCUUCUCGGACCAGUGUCUUCGGGGAGCUUUGGCUCUCCCUGGGCCCCCCUCCGCCUCUCCGGGCUCCCCGCCCUGGGUCAGUCCUCCGCAGAGAUCCCGCCAGAGCCUUCGCCAAAGCCUCCGACGGGGCUGCCGCCGGCUCAGCCCUGGUCCCCUGCCCAUCCCCCCGGCGAAGCUCCGCAAGGGGAACCACUUUAACUUCUUACUCCAGCACCCCACCUGCCAGCAAGUGUCAUCACAGCCGCCAGGCCAGCCAGUGGGAUGUGUCAUCGCUCGGGACCCCGGCAGGUCACCUCCACAGUGGCCACCUGCAUCGUGGCACAACUCGGCCUCGAGGGUCUUUUCCUGCUAGGCUUAGGAUGGCCGCUUCCCCAAGCGGGUGACUCGCGGCCCUGGGCCCUGAAGGGGCGGGAGGCUGAGUGGGGCCUGUGGAGCAGGGGCCGCACCCCCCUCCCGGGGCCCCAACCACACCUGGGAAGUCCCACUGUGUUUUGCCUUGGAGGGGAAGAAUUUUCCAGAACCGCAGUCUGUCUCCGGGAGGCGGAAUCUGCAGGCGCACGUUCCUCACGGUUGGUUCGGGGUCUGUCCGCAGCAGAGCUGUGCUGCGGGGGCUCCCAGCGCCCUCGAGCCCCCUCUGAGCGAGGCCCGGGUCCUUUUGCAUCUGUGUUCUCUUACAGAGAGUGACGCGCAGCCACUGUUGUUUUGAGCCCCCGCUGUGUGCCGUGGGCUGGGGGCUCCCCAGUUCAGACGGCCCGACAGCAGGCCUCUGGCUUCCAGCUGCACCCCCAGAGCGCAGAACCGCGUCCGGCCUGGGCUGGGCACUCACUGAACCCUUGUCAGUAGAUAACAGGGGCCCAAGAAGGGAAGCGCAGUGCCGGAAGUUGAAUGCGCCAACGGAGAAGCAGGCCUGGACCAGGCAGGAGGGGCCGUGCCGCCCCAGCCUGUCACAGCGCGUGCCACCUCACCCCCUGUGACCACUGCUGGCCUACAGGCCAGUCUGGUCAGUCGGGUCCUCACGCUGCGGCCCCCGAGGGCAAAGCUCAAGGGGCCAGCUCCACGGAGGGACGCAUCAGGAAGUGACGGAAGGAUGGACAGUGGGCCCCCUCUCCUUGGGAAGGCAAAGUUACUGGUGGCCUCUCUUCCACUCCAGCACCCCACCUCAGUCAGCUCCAAAUGCUGACCCUGACUCACCCGCUUGAACCCGAAGACACGCCCUCACAUUGUAGGGGCUGAGGGCGGAAGAGGAUCUCGGAGGGACAGGACCCUGUGAUCAUAACUGUGAUGGCUGAUGAGAGAAUGGAGGCUUAGAGAUAUUGUGUGAGCUGAAAAGUGGCAGAGGUUGGAAUGUGGGAGCUGUGCCCAGGAGCAAUUAUCUCUGACACAUUAUUUUGUGUGAAAUCACUUUAGCUGCCAUUAGCUGAUAAAGCCGGAAUAAAGGAGGGUCCAUUAACCAGCGCUGACCUCUUGGCCUCUGGGGCUCCCCGGGAGGGUAACAGAGGGACCUGCC